UUUCUUCCCGCAUGUUAUAUUAACAAGAAUUUCACGUCAUCGUCGCCCUCGUGGUUUUUGCAGAGAGAAGCGAGAGAAAUUAUAGAGAGAGAGAAGCAUAGGGUUUCUCUGAGAUGGCUGGAAAAUCUGGGCUCAUGAAGUCUAUUCCACCUCGUCUUCGCCCUCAAUCCACUGAUAUCACAGCGGCCAUGACAUGGGGUAUUGCUGCAACUGCUGGUGCCAUCUGGCUCAUUCAGCCAUUUGACUGGUUGAAGAAGCAGUUCUCUAAAGAUCCCGAGUCCUAGAGCUGUUAGAAUGGUUCCCAAUCUUUGGUCGGUACCCUGGCCGGCAGAGGGAGCUCCGGUACAACUCUUUCUUUGUCACUUGUCUAUUAUGAGAAUUAUGAACGGGAUAUUUUCGUCUUGAAUAAUUCAUGUAGAAGCCUGGGUUUGACCUGCUUCUGAACAGCAGUUUUUGUUAAAAGGCACAAAUUUAUUUGUGGAAUGAAAAGAUGACUAAUUGCUUGUGCAAUGAAAAGUUGACUUAGGGGUUUCUCAUGGAUUUUAUAGAAUUCUUAAUGACUAUUGUGAGUCUCUAUAGACAUCUUUAA